rnacentral:rRNA from 1 species
UACGUAGGGUGCAAGCGUUGUCCGGAAUUAUUGGGCGUAAAGAGCUCGUAGGCGGCUUGUCGCGUCGGCUGUGAAAACCUGGGGCUCAACCCCGGGCCUGCAGCCGAUACGGGCAAGCUAGAAUUCGGUAGGGGAGACUGGAAUUCCUGGUGUAGCGGUGAAAUGCACAGAUAUCAGGAGGAACACCGGUGGCGAAGGCGGGUCUCUGGGCCGAUAUUGACGCUGAGGAGCGAAAGCGUGGGGAGCGAACAGG